AUUGAACGCUGGCGGCAGGCCUAACACAUGCAAGUCGAGCGGAGCGGCAGACGGGGGAGUGAUGCCUAGGAAUCUGCCUGGUAGUGGGGGAUGACGUCCGGAAACGGGAGCUAAUACCGCAUCCUCUCAGAUGAACCUAGGUCGGAUUAGCUAGUGGGGGGGGUAAAGGCCUACCAAGGCGACGAUCCGUAACUGGUCUGAGAGGAUGAUCAGUCACACUGGAACGGAGACACGGUCCAGACUCCUACGGGAGGCAGCAGUGGGGAAUAUUGGACAAUGGGCGCAAGCCUGAUCCAGCCAUGCCGCGUGUGUGAAGAAGGUCUUCGGAUUGUAAAGCACUUUAAGUUGGGAGGCGUUACCAACAGAAUAAGCACCGGCUAACUUCGUGCCAGCAGCCGCGGUAAUUC
rnacentral:rRNA from 1 species